GCUCCCGUAGCUCAAUUGGAUAGAGCGGCAGACUUCUAAUCUGUAGGUUGCAGGUUCGAUUCCUGCCGGGGGCGCCA
rnacentral:tRNA from 1 species